GAUGAACGCUGGCGGCGUGCCUAACACAUGCAAGUCGAACGGAAAGGCCCUGCUCUUGCGGGGUGUCCGAGUGGCGAACGGGGGUGUGACACGCGUGUAACCUGCCCUUGACUUUGGGAAAACCUCAGGAAACUGGGGCCAAUACCGGCUAGUAGUUCCUGCUGCAUGGUGGGGGUUGGAAAGUGUCGGGGGUCGGGGAUGGACUCGCGGCUUAUCAGCUUGUUGGUGGGGUAGCGGCUUACCAAGGCCUUGACUGGUAGCGGGGCUGGGCGGGUGACCGGCCCCAUCAGGACUGAGAUGCGGCACAGACUACAACGGGAGGCAGCGGUGGAGAAAAGUGCACAACAGGAGGAGCGCUAAUGUAACAGAGCCGCGUGGGGGAUAGGGCCAUUCGGGUUGUAAUCCGAUCUGGCCUGAGACGAAGCGUGUAUGACGGUAAUGGAUGAAGAAGCACCGGCUAACUACGUG
rnacentral:rRNA from 1 species